rnacentral:rRNA from 1 species
UACGGAGGGAGCUAGCGUUGUUCGGAAUUACUAGGCGUAAAGCGCGCGUAGGCGGCUUUGUAAGUUAGAGGUGAAAGCCCGGAGCUCAACUCCGGAACUGCCUUUAAGACUGCAUCGCUAGAAUUGUGGAGAGGUAAGUGGAAUUCCGAGUGUAGAGGUGAAAUUCGUAGAUAUUCGGAAGAACACCAGUGGCGAAGGCGACUUACUGGACACAUAUUGACGCUGAGGUGCGAAAGCGUGGGGAGCAAACAGG